CCUCGCCUUCCAAGGUGGUGUGUA
rnacentral:siRNA from 1 species